CCCCCAAGCUCCAUUUCCGAAUGAACAAUGCAGAAUAGAAAAAUUAUAUUCAAAACUGUGUGGGCUGUGAAGUUAGCCAUGACAAAUAUAGAGAGACUGACAGGAUGUAUUCUUACAUAUCGACGUUAAUAUUAUCCUUUCUCCCUUGGUGGGGCCAUCUUGUUUCUUUAGUCACGGUGUCUGGGGCCAAUAGACUUUCAAGACCGCCCCCAAAUAGUUAAGAUAUGGAAAGCAAGAUACAUUGACUUCAAAAUUCGUUUAAAGGCAAAAUUUAAAAGUGGGAGAAGUCAGGAAAAGGAAGAAGAGAAGGAAGUGGAGAAUUUCCUUUCACAGCAAAGUCACCAGCAGGUUUGCUGAAGAGUUCCCUGAAGAACAAGCUGGUUCAACUGAGAUUCCGGCACCUCCAGAAUGUGACUCUAGUUUGGACAAAGGUAACAAGGACAAAGAGGAAGGAAAGGAUCCAUAUGAUUAAAAAAAUCAACAGACUUUGAUGAUAUGACACAAACAGAGUCAUCCAUGUUGCCUCCUGACCUGUGACUCAGGACUGGAAAGAAAACUUGGGGGGGGGGGUGGUUGGUACAUAUGGGAGGAUUGACUAAGCCAGGUUUUAGCCACCUUCAGAAGACACUGCAUCCUGGCUCCUAGCUGGCCUUCAAUUACGACUGUUCUAUCCUGGAAGGAAGCAGAAGUGGUUGAGGGGAUGCAUACUGUAGCUACUGAG